rnacentral:rRNA from 1 species
GAUGAACGCUGGCGGCGUGCCUAAUACAUGCAAGUCGAGCGAACGGACGAGAAGCUUGCUUCUCUGAUGUUAGCGGCGGACGGGUGAGUAACACGUGGAUAACCUACCUAUAAGACUGGGAUAACUUCGGGAAACCGGAGCUAAUACCGGAUAAUAUUUUGAACCGCAUGGUUCAAAAGUGAAAGACGGCCUUGCUGUCACUUAUAGAUGGAUCCGCGCUGCAUUAGCUAGUUGGUAAGGUAACGGCUUACCAAGGCAACGAUGCGUAGCCGACCUGAGAGGGUGAUCGGCCACACUGGAACUGAGACACGGUCCAGACUCCUACGGGAGGCAGCAGUAGGGAAUCUUCCGCAAUGGGCGAAAGCCUGACGGAGCAACGCCGCGUGAGUGAUGAAGGUCUUCGGAUCGUAAAACUCUGUUAUUAGGGAAGAACAUAUGUGUAAGUAACUGUGCACGUCUUGACGGUACCUAAUCAGAAAGCCACGGCUAACUACGUG